CGGUAAUACGGAGGGUGCAAGCGUUAAUCGGAAUUACUGGGCGUAAAGCGCGCGUAGGUGGCUUGAUAAGCCGGUUGUGAAAGCCCCGGGCUCAACCUGGGAACGGCAUCCGGAACUGUCAGGCUAGAGUGCAGGAGAGGAAGGUAGAAUUCCCGGUGUAGCGGUGAAAUGCGUAGAGAUCGGGAGGAAUACCAGUGGCGAAGGCGGCCUUCUGGACUGACACUGACACUGAGGUGCGAAAGCGUGGGUAGCAAACAGGAUUAGAUACCCUGGUAGUCCACGCCGUAAACGAUGUCGACCAGCCGUUGGGUGCCUAGAGCACUUUGUGGCGAAGUUAACGCGAUAAGUCGACCGCCUGGGGAGUACGGCCGCAAGGUUAAAACUCAAAUGAAUUGACGGGGGCCCGCACAAGCGGUGGAGCAUGUGGUUUAAUUCGAUGCAACGCGAAGAACCUUACCUACCCUUGACAUCUACAGAAGCCGGAAGAGAUUCUGGUGUGCCUUCGGGAACUGUAAGACAGGUGCUGCAUGGCUGUCGUCAGCUCGUGUUGUGAAAUGUUGGGUUAAGUCCCGUAACGAGCGCAACCCUUGUCCUUAUUUGCCAGCGAGUAAUGUCGGGAACUCUAAGGAGACUGCCGGUGACAAACCGGAGGAAGGUGGGGACGACGUCAAGUCAUCAUGGCCCUUACGGGUAGGGCUACACACGUGCUACAAUGGCCGGUACAAAGGGCUGCGAGCUCGCGAGAGUCAGCGAAUCCCUUAAAGCCGGUCUCAGUCCGGAUCGGAGUCUGCAACUCGACUCCGUGAAGUCGGAAUCGCUAGUAAUCGUGAAUCAGAAUGUCACGGUGAAUACGUUCCCGGG
rnacentral:rRNA from 1 species